GGUUAAGCGACUAAGCGUACACGGUGGAUGCCCCGGCAGUCAGAGGCGAUGAAGGACGUGCUAAUCUGCGAUAAGCGUCGGUAAGGUGAUAUGAACCGUUAUAACCGGCGAUUUCCGAAUGGGGAAACCCAGUGUGAUUCGUCACACUAUCAUUAACUGAAUCCAUAGGUUAAUGAGGCGAACCGGGGGAACUGAAACAUCUAAGUACCCCGAGGAAAAGAAAUCAACCGAGAUUCCCCCAGUAGCGGCGAGCGAACGGGGAGCAGCCCAGAGCCUGAAUCAGUGUGUGUGUUAGUGGAAGCGUCUGGAAAGGCGCGCGAUACAGGGUGACAGCCCCGUACACAAAAAUGCACAUGCUGUGAGCUCGAUGAGUAGGGCGGGACACGUGGUAUCCUGUCUGAAUAUGGGGGACCAUCCUCCAAGGCUAAAUACUCCUGACUGACCGAUAGUGAACCAGUACCGUGAGGGAAAGGCGAAAAGAACCCCGGCGAGGGGAGUGAAAAAGAACCUGAAACCGUGUACGUACAAGCAGUGGGAGCACGCUUAGGCGUGUGACUGCGUACCUUUUGUAUAAUGGGUCAGCGACUUAUAUUCUGUAGCAAGGUUAACCGAAUAGGGGAGCCGAAGGGAAACCGAGUCUUAACUGGGCGUUAAGUUGCAGGGUAUAGACCCGAAACCCGGUGAUCUAGCCAUGGGCAGGUUGAAGGUUGGGUAACACUAACUGGAGGACCGAACCGACUAAUGUUGAAAAAUUAGCGGAUGACUUGUGGCUGGGGGUGAAAGGCCAAUCAAACCGGGAGAUAGCUGGUUCUCCCCGAAAGCUAUUUAGGUAGCGCCUCGUGAAUUCAUCUCCGGGGGUAGAGCACUGUUUCGGCAAGGGGGUCAUCCCGACUUACCAACCCGAUGCAAACUGCGAAUACCGGAGAAUGUUAUCACGGGAGACACACGGCGGGUGCUAACGUCCGUCGUGAAGAGGGAAACAACCCAGACCGCCAGCUAAGGUCCCAAAGUCAUGGUUAAGUGGGAAACGAUGUGGGAAGGCCCAGACAGCCAGGAUGUUGGCUUAGAAGCAGCCAUCAUUUAAAGAAAGCGUAAUAGCUCACUGGUCGAGUCGGCCUGCGCGGAAGAUGUAACGGGGCUAAACCAUGCACCGAAGCUGCGGCAGCGACGCUGAUGCGUUGUUGGGUAGGGGAGCGUUCUGUAAGCCUGCGAAGGUGUGCUGUGAGGCAUGCUGGAGGUAUCAGAAGUGCGAAUGCUGACAUAAGUAACGAUAAAGCGGGUGAAAAGCCCGCUCGCCGGAAGACCAAGGGUUCCUGUCCAACGUUAAUCGGGGCAGGGUGAGUCGACCCCUAAGGCGAGGCCGAAAGGCGUAGUCGAUGGGAAACAGGUUAAUAUUCCUGUACUUGGUGUUACUGCGAAGGGGGACGGAGAAGGCUAUGUUGGCCGGGCGACGGUUGUCCCGGUUUAAGCGUGUAGGCUGGUUUUCCAGGCAAAUCCGGAAAACUAAGGCUGAGGCGUGAUGACGAGGCACUACGGUGCUGAAGCAACAAAUGCCCUGCUUCCAGGAAAAGCCUCUAAGCAUCAGGUAACAUCAAAUCGUACCCCAAACCGACACAGGUGGUCAGGUAGAGAAUACCAAGGCGCUUGAGAGAACUCGGGUGAAGGAACUAGGCAAAAUGGUGCCGUAACUUCGGGAGAAGGCACGCUGAUAUGUAGGUGAAGUCCCUCGCGGAUGGAGCUGAAAUCAGUCGAAGAUACCAGCUGGCUGCAACUGUUUAUUAAAAACACAGCACUGUGCAAACACGAAAGUGGACGUAUACGGUGUGACGCCUGCCCGGUGCCGGAAGGUUAAUUGAUGGGGUUAGCGCAAGCGAAGCUCUUGAUCGAAGCCCCGGUAAACGGCGGCCGUAACUAUAACGGUCCUAAGGUAGCGAAAUUCCUUGUCGGGUAAGUUCCGACCUGCACGAAUGGCGUAAUGAUGGCCAGGCUGUCUCCACCCGAGACUCAGUGAAAUUGAACUCGCUGUGAAGAUGCAGUGUACCCGCGGCAAGACGGAAAGACCCCGUGAACCUUUACUAUAGCUUGACACUGAACAUUGAGCCUUGAUGUGUAGGAUAGGUGGGAGGCUUUGAAGUGUGGACGCCAGUCUGCAUGGAGCCGACCUUGAAAUACCACCCUUUAAUGUUUGAUGUUCUAACGUUGACCCGUAAUCCGGGUUGCGGACAGUGUCUGGUGGGUAGUUUGACUGGGGCGGUCUCCUCCUAAAGAGUAACGGAGGAGCACGAAGGUUGGCUAAUCCUGGUCGGACAUCAGGAGGUUAGUGCAAUGGCAUAAGCCAGCUUGACUGCGAGCGUGACGGCGCGAGCAGGUGCGAAAGCAGGUCAUAGUGAUCCGGUGGUUCUGAAUGGAAGGGCCAUCGCUCAACGGAUAAAAGGUACUCCGGGGAUAACAGGCUGAUACCGCCCAAGAGUUCAUAUCGACGGCGGUGUUUGGCACCUCGAUGUCGGCUCAUCACAUCCUGGGGCUGAAGUAGGUCCCAAGGGUAUGGCUGUUCGCCAUUUAAAGUGGUACGCGAGCUGGGUUUAGAACGUCGUGAGACAGUUCGGUCCCUAUCUGCCGUGGGCGCUGGAGAACUGAGGGGGCUGCUCCUAGUACGAGAGGACCGGAGUGGACGCAUCACUGGUGUUCGGGUUGUCAUGCCAAUGGCACUGCCCGGUAGCUAAAUGCGGAAGAGAUAAGUGCUGAAAGCAUCUAAGCACGAAACUUGCCCCGAGAUGAGUUCUCCCUGACUCCUUGAGAGUCCUGAAGGAACGUUGAAGACGACGACGUUGAUAGGCCGGGUGUGUAAGCGCAGCGAUGCGUUGAGCUAACCGGUACUAAUGAACCGUGAGGCUUAACCUU
rnacentral:rRNA from 1 species